CUCGGUGUGGCUACAAGAGAGAAAUAAAGGAACGCUGGAUCUUAAGAUCAGCGAACAUUCGACGCGCAACCGCUGAACUGUCUACAAGUAACGAAUCAGGCUAAAGGGAGAGACAGUGAGAAAAGCAGCAAAACAUGACGAAACUGUGGCUGCGGUGCAUCCUUGCCUUUCAUAUGGCCUUCCUCAUCCUGGCUGUGGCCAACUGCCAAUUUGAGGAUGAUGAGGAUGAUGAGUUAUCAUCGGAUGAUGCCAGUUUGACAAGCGAUUACGAUGAAGAAACACCGGAGACGGAAACAUCGGAAUACACCGAUAACCGCAUUGACGCGGCACCUACGUUCGUCUCGCCAGUAGAGAAAUUCAUUAGAGCUAUCACCGUUUCUUUCGGAUGGAUAACUCAAACAACCAGCGCUCGAUCUUCCGUCGAUCGAAAUUUUUCCGAAACAUCGAGAAUCUUUCAUGGGUUUCCCAAUAUUUUCGCUGAAACUACCGACAGAUCCGAUAGAAGUGGCUUUAGCGAUGUACUAAACAUGAUCGGCGACAGGUUCAAGGCUGUUUAUCCAGGUACGGAAUGGUGCGGCGCAGGAAAUGUCGCGAAAAACGCAGGCGAGAUUGGCCUGUUUAAGAAAACCGAUAGCUGCUGCAAAGAGCACGAUCAGUGUAAUGUCAGCUUGGAAGCGGGCACAUCCGAGCGCGGUUUGCGAAACAACGGAAUUUUCACCAGGUCUCACUGUCUGUGCGAUGCAAAGUUUUAUUAUUGCUUGAAGGAAGCUCGCUCGAUAGUGGCUACAAAUAUUGGCGUCACCUACUUCAACAUCCUCAGGCCGCAAUGCUUCAAGUACGAGCACCCAGCGCUUUGCGCCAAGUAUGGAAGGUACACUUAGACAGUUAACAUUUGCAGUCCCAUACACUCCGUUAACAUUCAAGUUUAUUUUUCUUACCAUCACUAAACUUCAGAGCAGACUGAGGAACAAUAAAUGUUUAACGUACAGUUACAACUAUUUUCUAACAAAAACGUGGCAGUGGUUUGAUAGCCCAGAUUUUUUGUAAAUCACUUCACAUUGUACAUAAGCACUUUU